rnacentral:rRNA from 1 species
GACGAACGCUGGCGGCGUGCUUAACACAUGCAAGUCGAACGGAAAGGCCCUGCUUUUGUGGGGUGCUCGAGUGGCGAACGGGUGAGUAACACGUGAGUAACCUGCCCUUGACUUUGGGAUAACUUCAGGAAACUGGGGCUAAUACCGGAUAGGAGCUCCUGCUGCAUGGUGGGGGUUGGAAAGUUUCGGCGGUUGGGGAUGGACUCGCAGCUUAUCAGCUUGUUGGUGGGGUAGUGGCUGACCAAGGCUUUGACGGGUAGCCGGCCUGAGAGGGUGACCGGCCACAUUGGGACUGAGAUACGGCCCAGACUCCUACGGGAGGCAGCAGUGGGGAAUAUUACACAAUGGGCGGAAGCGUGAUGCAGCAACGCCGCGUGCGGGAUGACGGCCUUCGGGUUGUAAACCGCUUUCGCCUGUGACGAAGAGUGAGUGACGGUAAUGGGUAAAGAAGCACCGGCUAACUACGUG